ensembl:lncRNA
CAUUAAUGCAUUAGUUUCAUUUUGUUCAGUUGGAUUGAUAAAUGUUCUAGAGUGAUCGCAACGUGAUUGGAAAUUCCACCAUGUAAUGACAUGUCCAUAAAGUGUCUGGAUAUUGUUCAAUCAUUGAAUUAUUGUGGAUUCAAAUUUCUGUUUGUAAUGUGUGCACAAAUACUGCAGCACAUCCCUUUGUGAAAAGCCUGGGACACUUGAAAAGUUAAUGGCACGCACACACACACACACACACACAGAGUUUGUUUUUCUAGGUUCUAAGGUUGUGCACUAAAUCCAGCUGCUGUUGCAUUCCCAUGGUGCUCUCCUGCAGCUGCAUCCAAUCAGAUCACAGAACCUUGAAACUGAAGCAGCUACAGCCUGAAAACACAGGCCAUCGUCAUGCUUUUUCUGGAUAUCUCAUUCAUGAAAUUCAGACUCACACCUCUCUGUCUGUUGUUCUUUCUCCGUGUCGCUUGCUCUUCCUUUCUCAAGAGGUUCUGUAAAAUUUUAACUAGGCCUCUUUACCGCAGGUGUUGCAUAUUGGUGAUUAAAGCACCUCUGCAUCUGUUGUUCCUCAGGCAAGAUUUGGUCUGAUUACUGCUCACUAGGGUGCAGAGUGCCGUGACCUGCUUUUGUUUGAGUUCAGACUCAUUUUGCCGUCCUUGAAUGUUAUCACAACUCCUGUAAUCAACAAGUGGCUGCUUAGCUUCAUUUCAUGGUAACAUAAAACUAAUGGAUAGGAAGAAAAGGAAGUCUCACAGGUUGGAUUAUUAGAACAACAUGAAAGUAAGUAAAUGUUUUUUUUUUUUGAAUAUUUUAUUUUAGGGUAAACUAUCCCUUUAAACAUUUUUAAUAACAUUAAUUCCUCAUCCAACAUUAAUUUCUCACAAGAUGUGCCAAAAUUGUCUCUUGAAGACUUCAAAAUCUAAUCUCAUUGCAGAUUCAAUGCAGCAUGGAAUUCACGUUAGCCUCUAUACCGCAGGUUUUGCAAGAAUUUGGCCGUAUUAUGCAACAAGACGUUAGUGUGUCAAUUAGCAAUACUGGUAGUUUUAGCUGAGCAUAAAAAGUAAAACUGUGACAGUCUUGUUGACUCAGGGCUAUGUGUCAAUAGGAAGGCACGAUGACAAUGAGGACCUUCCUCUUUAAAGUAGGACAGUGUGGACAGCACGUUUUAUCGUGAGCAUUAAAAGCAGGUUAUGACUUCGUAUACGUGUCUCAAAACAAAAGAGUGCUGAAAUGCAGGCUAAUAGCUCAGGGGUAUUGUAUUUCUGUGGUCUGAGGUAAUUGGCUUUUUCUUUACUUCUAUGAAUGUUAUUUAAAGCAGGUCGUGUUGAUCCAGGAUUAUACGAGACCCCCAUGUCAAAUAGGCUGACUCACCUAGAUGUAUUUCCAUUUAGUUUCGAUGUUUCCAAUUCAGAGCCGCCUCAACUGCCAAAAAGUAGAAUCACAGGACAGAUGUGAUGAUUCAGAGUAUCUCUUUGCCUAGAUUUGUGGUUUAUGAGAGUGCACUCAUAUCUAUAAAGCGAGUGUUUGUGUGAGAUGGACCGAGCGAGAGGCAUGGGGGGGUUGUGGGACAUGAUGAGAGAAUGGUGAAGUAGCCAGCCCACAAUGGGCCGCAUUGUUCCAAGCUCAUAAUCAGAGCGGACAUGGAACUUGGCCGGGAGAGUCGUCCCUGUAGCCCUCGACACAGCUGCUGGGACUUCAGUUUAUAUUCCCUCUGUUCUGCUUUCAUCAGCAUCUCUCUUGCGCACAUUUUCUCUCCGUCUCUGUCUUUCCCAUUCAGUGGCUGCUUUUCCUUCCUCCAUUUGAAAUGAAGGGGUCAGGGCAUGAGCAAUGCACUCUUGUGUAACACUACAACGGCAUAAACAAACUGUGCCAAUCAAAGAGAGCCAAAACUUUGACCUCAAUAUCUUAUGCUUAAGUACAGGAAUCUCAGGCCUCCAUCCAACUGUCCUCCAAGCAGCCAUCUUCGCUUCCUGUAUGCAUUUUAGUUAGUGGAACAACCAGAAGCCCGGUGGAAAAACCCAGCCAGUAACUGGAUCUUUAAAAGAUUAGAGCUCUGCUUCAAUGACGAGAGAAAUAAGAAGCUUAACAGCUGGCCCAGUGGCGGUAGCUGUGUUUACAAUAAAAUCUCGCAGUCAGCUGUGAGGCCUUUGCGUCACUGGCAUGUAAAAAUAAAAUAAGAGACCAGAGAGAGACCCCUCCAUCAUGACUCAAAAUUUCCACAGAGACCAUAGGAUGGUGCCACUCCUUGUACAAAAUCUGAUACAUUGCAGGUGGGUCUUGGUGUCCAAAACGUCCAAGUACGAAUUCCAUCACAUGACCUUUCAGCAGUGUGUUAACCGAUAAUUGUCGCCUCAUAGCUUUCUAAAUUGAUUGAAGCAUUUGCGGUGUGUGUUGGCUGCACAUACGGUUGGCUGCGGUUCUUGGCCGUUGGGCUCGGAUGAUUCCAUGUUGCUGGGCUGGGGCUGCUUUACACACAUUACAUGACUUAAGCAGGCAACACAUGCUCCCUUUACUCUGUUAGGGUUGCUGGGAGUGAGUUGUAUUUUUGACCCGCUCUAGGUCAGGUGUCCGCCCUUGUGUUGCCUCCCAUAUGUUCCGCAUUUUCUUGCGCUAUCCACCCAACCCCCAGUCCCGUUGCCCCUGUAAUUGCCAGGUAAUGUUUCGGCUCUGGCUCCUCCUCUACUGCCUUUAUUCCUGUUCUGAAUUUAAUGCGACUGCCAAUAGUGGCCACAGGCUUGGCAGUAUUUCAAAAAAGGGGCCCACCUUCGAUACAUUAUACACAAGCAGCUUUCACCAAGGUGUGCAUUUCAAGACAGUCUUCCUCUGUUUUUAUACUGUGCUUUUUUCGGUUAAAUCAAAGCUGGAGGGGACACUGGAGACUCCCCCCCCACCCCCAAUCUGAUCUCUGUAACCCCUCCCUGCUCAUAUCAGAUAUUCCCCAGCCGCCUGGCGCCCAGAGAGAGGCCCACCUUUACCACCCAUUGUAAACCCAAUAAUACAGAACUGUUGGCUUUUAUGGUCAUACUCUGUCCCAUUUCCCAAAAAUCACCUUUCAAAUGCAUAAAUAAACUAAACAAAAACAACAAAUAAAAAUGGAGUAUAGGGCUAUAUUUACAAUGCCUUUGGCGUAGGUAUCAUACUGGGUAUAUCUGAAUUCUGUACUUUUGUUUGUGGUCACUUUGUUCCCUUUCUUCCUCUUUUCAGUAAGCAAAAAAAAAAACA